rnacentral:tRNA from 1 species
UAUUUUAUUAGUAUAAAAAGUACAUCUAAUUUCCAAUUAGAGAGUUUUUCCAAAAUAAAAUAA